UUUUUUAUGUGGGCCCUUUAGCAAACCAAAUAAUAAAAACUUGACCAAAAGAAGAAGAAGAAGAAGAAGAAGAAGAAGAAGAGGAGGAGGAGGAAGUUGGGAGUUGAAUAUUAUAACUGUAGAGAAGUCUCACAGAACCCAAAGUCAGGAAUGCAACUGGAGUUCUGGAAGGAAGUGAAACCUGCAGCUGACAGAAGCCAGGAAGUGCUUGUGUCCAUCUCUGCUUCUCCUUCCUCUAUCUCCUCUUGGUGGCUUUCUCUCUGAAGACCACCUUAUUCUGGUCUUCAAUCCACAGAUUGGGCUCCAGCUGCAGCCACAUGAAGAGAUUAACUUUACUCUUGGACCAGAUUUUGAAAUUCCUGGGAGAGAUCAUAAUUGACCCAGUUAAGUCCGGUUGCCAGAACUUGAACAAUCGUGUGUGACCUCAGAACAAUAUUAUCUACUGUAUAUUUGGCUGCCUGGAGACGGCUUCUGUGGUUUUUCUUGUAACAGGAUAUUUAAAAGUAAUGUCGAAAUGCUCAGUUUUGUGACCUUCCCUAAAUUUCAACAGAGGCAAGGGAAGAACUAAGCAAACAAAGUAAACUAAAAGUGACGAGAGAUAACCAAAAUAACUUUGUUCCUUAUAAUCACUUCCUUGAGCUGUGCUUCUUCAACAUUGAAAUCCGUUGUGAAAUAUGCAGUUGCCACAGAAGAAGAGUCUUUAUGAGUCUGGCAGAUACUUUAGAAAUAGAUCUCAGCUGGAAGUAUGAUUUGAAUAUUGUUUACAUUUAAAAUUUAUGUUGUCAAAAAACACGAUCACAAAAGUCAUAAGAUAGGUUGCAAUAAAAGUUAAUAUUAACAUGAUGAAAACAAAAGUAUUUGAGUCUCAAGAAGUCUCAAAAAAUAAAAAUUGCAUGCAAAUUAAUAUUUGCUUAAAAAAAUACAUGACGCAUGUUUUAUGACAUCACAUUCAGAAGAUAAGGAAGACUACUCCAAAAUGUCAUUUUCAUAAUUUCUGAGUUGUGUAGUCAUGGAUGAUUUUUAUUUAUUUUUGUAUUAUUUUUGGAGCUGUCAUUAAUGAGAAACUAUUAAAUUUAUAAUUUAAAAGUAUUAUUUUAUAAAAAGAGAAAGAAUUACCCUGACGUAGAAAUAUCACCAUAUUAGUGGAAACAGUACUUUGAUUGGCUGAUACUACAUUUCCAAUGUGUAAACAGAAAACGAUAUCACACCAGACUACUAUACUAGAUAGAAGGAAUGCUGGAAAACCUCCAAACUCCUGAUGAGUAAGCCUUUUCCUUUUAAAUACCCAAUUGUUUUUCCAGCACCUUUUAUUGAAAAGAUUUUCCUUUGCCUCAGUGGAUUUCUUUGUUGCUUCUGUUGAGGUUGAUUGACUCUAUGAAUAUGAGUCUAUUUCUGGGCUCUCUAUUAAUUCGUUAAUUCUUAUUAUAGUUCCACGCUGUCUUGAUUAAUGUAGCUUUAGUAUUCAGAGAGCAUAAAUCUAUUCUAGCAUAAUCUAUAAUAAAUCUAUAAUAGCAUAAAUCUAUUCUAUUCAGAUAGCAUAAAUCUUCAGUUGUCAUCAUUUUUCAAGCCUCUGUGGUUCUUCUAAUCUAUGAACAUGGUAUAUAUCCAUUUAUUUUAAUUUUCAUCACUUUUCUU
rnacentral:lncRNA from 1 species